AUUAUUAUUAUUAUUAUUAUUAUUAUUAUUAUUAUUAUUAUUAUUUUAUUAACUUUUGUUUGAUCACAAGUGGGUAUCAGCACCUGUUUACAAAAUAUAUAAUUAGACAGACUUGGUUUGAUAUAAAUUUAUCAGUUUUUAAAUAGGCCUAUUUCUUGUAAAUAGAAUUGUCUACUGACUAAAAUAGAUCAAAAUCAUGUCCCUAAAACCAUGCUAAAAUCAAGGCAAAUUCAACAAAGGACGCAUAUCUCUGGACGUAUUAAAGGAUAACUAUGGCAUCGAUAUUCUACGCGCCGCGAGCCACUAUAAGCUGAUCGUCACAAAAUCCAUAGUAACCAUCAGUGUGUGACGAAUUACCCACGUGCGUGUGAGUUGCCAUGAUAAUCGCUCGUCGUGCGAUGGUUGCAAAGGACUAAUGAAUUAUUGCAUUAACUUUAGACUGAAAUUAUAUUCAUUAUUUCGGCAUUAAAAAUAGAAAAAAAAAAAUUCUGUAUCUACUUCGUUUUGGGUACGGUACCUUAGUCCGACAUUGUCAAAAUCACAGUUUAAUGUUAUACAUAUAAGAACAUGAUUUUAUAAAAAUCUUAAAUUUCCACUUGCUAUAACUUUUCAUUUUGUGGAUCAAUCUUCACAAAUCAAAUUGUAGUUUAUAGAAGCACUUAACAAGUUCGUGAUCGAAAGAAAUCAGAUGUAACAGAUUGCGAAGUACCAAAAAUUAAUAAAAUAGUAACUAACACC